GCGGGGGUGGCGGAACGGGUAGACGCGCAAGGCUAAGGACCUUGUGGCCGCGAGGCUGUGGGAGUUCGAGUCUCCCCCUCCGCACCA
rnacentral:tRNA from 1 species